rnacentral:rRNA from 1 species
GAUGAACGCUGGCGGCGUGCCUAAUACAUGCAAGUCGAGCGAACGGACGAGAAGCUUGCUUCUCUGAUGUUAGCGGCGGACGGGUGAGUAACACGUGGAUAACCUACCUAUAAGGCUGGGAUAACUUCGGGAAACCGGAGCUAAUACCGGAUAAUAUUUUGAACCGCAUGGUUCAAAAGUGAAAGACGGUCUUGCUGUCACUUAUAGAUGGAUCCGCGCUGCAUUAGCUAGUUGGUAAGGUAACGGCUUACCAAGGCAACGAUGCAUAGCCGACCUGAGAGGGUGAUCGGCCACACUGGAACUGAGACACGGUCCAGACUCCUACGGGAGGCAGCAGUAGGGAAUCUUCCGCAAUGGGCGAAAGCCUGGCGGAGCAACGCCGCGUGAGUGAUGAAGGUCUUCGGAUCGUAAAACUCUGUUAUUAGGGAAGAACAUAUGUGUAAGUAACUGUGCACAUCUUGACGGUACCUAAUCAGAAAGCCACGGCUAACUACGUG